rnacentral:misc_RNA from 1 species
GGAAGUAAACGUCGUAACAAGGUCUCCGUUGGUGAACCAGCGGAGGGUGCAUCACCAGAGCUUUACAACUCACAACCUUUCUGUCAACCAACUUUUCCCUGCUUCGGCAGACUCGCGCCAGCUUACGGACGGCCCCGCGCCGGCUCGCGACCUGGACCCACGCGGCUGCCGGAGGCCCUACCAUUCUCUAUCCAUCCGUCUCUUAGAAUCCGCGGCACGGGUAAAUAAACUCAACAAAACUGUGCUAAUUCGUACCCUUAGUUAGCGUAUCAACCUAGAACACCUGAGACCGGGAGA